UACGAAGGUCCCAAGCGUUAUCCGGAUUUAUUGGGUUUAAAGGGUGCGUAGGCGGGUUAUUAAGUCAGUGGUGAAAGCUCCAUGCCUAACAUGGAAAUUGCCAUUGAUACUGAUGAUCUUGAGUACAUUUGAAGUGGGCGGAAUGUGUCAUGUAGCGGUGAAAUGCUUAGAUAUGACACAGAACACCAAUUGCGUAGGCAGCUCACUAAACUGUAACUGACGCUGAGGCACGAAAGCGUGGGUAGCGAACAGG
rnacentral:rRNA from 1 species